AUAUAUACUUAAUAAUAUAAAAAUGGUUAAUAUAUUUCCAUUUUUUUGCAUUCCUUGCUGAAGUAUAUUCAAUAAAGAAGUGAGAACUAAUAACCUAGUCCAGUCUUUCUGCAAUGAAAGCCUAACGUAAUUAUACAACGAAUGUUAACAACUGUGCAGACUUCGAUUUUAGUUUUACUUUUACGUAGUGAGAAUGAGUGGACUACUUUUAGUUUAACAACUGCUAAUGCAGUAAUGUUCAACUUACAUGGUGUAGUACCAAUGGAGAUGUCCUGAUCUUCUCUAUGCAUACAUUUCAAUGGAAAGCCCAUCUCUACAGGUGUAUGUACUCCUUUGAAAUAUGAAGACAUCUUUAAGAAAAGCAAUUUUGUUUUUUGCUGUUAUAUGGAUAUUUACAACUCGUACUCAAUGCAGAAAGGAGGCAAAAG